rnacentral:rRNA from 1 species
UACGUAGGGUGCAAGCGUUAAUCGGAAUUACUGGGCGUAAAGCGUGCGCAGGCGGUUUUGUAAGUCUGACGUGAAAUCCCCGGGCUCAACCUGGGAAUUGCGUUGGAGACUGCAAGGCUGGAAUCUGGCAGAGGGGGGUAGAAUUCCACGUGUAGCAGUGAAAUGCGUAGAGAUGUGGAGGAACACCGAUGGCGAAGGCAGCCCCCUGGGUCAAGAUUGACGCUCAUGCACGAAAGCGUGGGGAGCAAACAGGAUUAGAUACCCUGGUAGUCCACGCCCUAAACGAUGUCUACUAGUUGUCGGGUUUUAAUUAACUUGGUAACGCAGCUAACGCGUGAAGUAGACCGCCUGGGGAGUACGGUCGCAAGAUUAAAACUCAAAGGAAUUGACGG